rnacentral:rRNA from 1 species
AGAAUCAACGCUGGCGGCGUGCCUAACACAUGCAAGUCGAACGAGAAAGUGGAGCAAUCCAUGAGUAAAGUGGCGCACGGGUGAGUAACACGUGACUAACCUACCCUCGAGUGGGGAAUAACUUCGGGAAACCGAGGCUAAUACCGCAUAAAACCUAAGGGUCAAAGGAGCAAUCCGUUUGAGGAGGGGGUCGCGGCAGAUUAGUUAGUUGGCGGGGUAAUGGCCCACCAAGACGAUGAUCUGUAUCCGGCCUGAGAGGGCGCACGGACACACUGGAACUGAAACACGGUCCAGACUCCUACGGGAGGCAGCAGUGGGGAAUCUUGCGCAAUGGGCGAAAGCCUGACGCAGCAACGCCGCGUGAGGGACGAAGGCCUUCUGGGUUGUAAACCUCUUUCAGCAGGGACGAUGAUGACGGUACCUGCAGAAGAAGCCCCGGCCAACUACGCGCCAGCAGCCGC